UACGUAGGGGGCAAGCGUUGUCCGGAUUCACUGGGCGUAAAGCGCGCGCAGGCGGUCAUCUGCGUCCGGGGUGAAAACCCAGAGCUCAACUCUGGGACUGCCUUGGAUACGGGGUGACUUGAGGAUCGGAGAGGCAAGGGGAAUUCCACGUGUAGCGGUGAAAUGCGUAGAGAUGUGGAGGAACACCUGUGGCGAAGGCGCCUUGCUGGGCUGACACUGACGCUGAGGCGCGAAAGCCAGGGGAGCAAACGGG
rnacentral:rRNA from 1 species